AUUGAACGCUGGCGGCAUGCCUUACACAUGCAAGUCGAACGGCAGCACGGGUGCUUGCACCUGGUGGCGAGUGGCGAACGGGUGAGUAAUACAUCGGAACAUGUCCUGUAGUGGGGGAUAGCCCGGCGAAAGCCGGAUUAAUACCGCAUACGAUCUACGGAUGAAAGCGGGGGCCCUUCGGGCCUCGCGCUUUAGGGUUGGCCGAUGGCUGAUUAGCUAGUUGGUGGGGUAAAGGCCUACCAAGGCGACGAUCAGUAGCUGGUCUGAGAGGACGACCAGCCACACUGGGACUGAGACACGGCCCAGACUCCUACGGGAGGCAGCAGUGGGGAAUUUUGGACAAUGGGCGAAAGCCUGAUCCAGCAAUGCCGCGUGUGUGAAGAAGGCCUUCGGGUUGUAAAGCACUUUUGUCCGGAAAGAAAACCUUGGCCCUAAUACGGUCGGGGGAUGACGGUACCGGAAGAAUAAGCACCGGCUAACUACGUG
rnacentral:rRNA from 1 species